AAAUUGAAGAGUUUGAUCAUGGCUCAGAUUGAACGCUGGCGGCAGGCCUAACACAUGCAAGUCGAGCGGAAACGAGAUAUCUGAACCUUCGGGGAACGAUAUCGGCGUCGAGCGGCGGACGGGUGAGUAAUGCCUGGGAAAUUGCCCUGAUGUGGGGGAUAACCAUUGGAAACGAUGGCUAAUACCGCAUAAUAGCUUCGGCUCAAAGAGGGGGACCUUCGGGCCUCUCGCGUCAGGAUAUGCCCAGGUGGGAUUAGCUAGUUGGUGAGGUAAUGGCUCACCAAGGCAACGAUCCCUAGCUGGUCUGAGAGGAUGAUCAGCCACACUGGAACUGAGACACGGUCCAGACUCCUACGGGAGGCAGCAGUGGGGAAUAUUGCACAAUGGGCGCAAGCCUGAUGCAGCCAUGCCGCGU
rnacentral:rRNA from 1 species